rnacentral:rRNA from 1 species
AGAGUUUGAUCCUGGCUCAGGAUGAACGCUGACAGAAUGCUUAACACAUGCAAGUCAACUUGAACUUCGGUUUGGGUGGCGGACGGGUGAGUAACGCGUAAAGAACUUGCCUCACAGAUAGGGACAACAUUUGGAAACGAAUGCUAAUACCUGAUAUUAUGAUUUUAGGGCAUCCUAGGAUUAUGAAAGCUAUAUGCGCUGUGAGAGAGCUUUGCGUCCCAUUAGCUAGUUGGAGAGGUAACGGCUCACCAAGGCGAUGAUGGGUAGCCGGCCUGAGAGGGUGAUCGGCCACAAGGGGACUGAGACACGGCCCUUACUCCUACGGGAGGCAGCAGUGGGGAAUAUUGGACAAUGGACCAAGAGUCUGAUCCAGCAAUUCUGUGUGCACGAUGAAGUUUUUCGGAAUGUAAAGUGCUUUCAGUUGGGAAGAAAAAAAUGACGGUACCAACAGAAGAAGUGACGGCUAAAUACGUGCCAGCAGCCGCGGUAAUACGUAUGUCACAAGCGUUAUCCGGAUUUAUUGGGCGUAAAGCGCGUCUAGGUGGUUAUGUAAGUCUGAUGUGAAAAUGCAGGGCUCAACUCUGUAUUGCGUUGGAAACUGUGUAACUAGAGUACUGGAGAGGCAAGCGGAACUACAAGUGUAGAGGUGAAAUUCGUAGAUAUUUGUAGGAAUGCCGAUGGGGAAGCCAGCUUACUGGACAGAUACUGACGCUGAAGCGCGAAAGCGUGGGUAGCAAACAGGAUUAGAUACCCUGGUAGUCCACGCCGUAAACGAUGAUUACU